UAGCUGCUAAUUCUCUUCCCCUUCAGUGUCACAUUGAAUCAAAAGUUCUCAUUUUUAUUUUCUUUAUGCUUUGUUUCAAAGCUAAAUGGGCUGUACAUAUUACUGGCCUUAAUCCUUCAUGGAACCAGCACAAAUUGACAUCUGACACAUCUCUGGUAUUUGCUAUGUGUGCAGGUAGCAACCAGUGGCACCAUCCAGUCAUCUCCCAUAUCCCAUCAGAUAGGAUCCCUACCAGAGAUAUGGCAGUGUCUCCAUUCUCAACUACUGCUCAGUCCAGCAAGUCUGGAGGAGGACUCAGGAUGUCACCUCCAUUUCUUCUCUAGUUGUUGAAUGACUGUAGAAAAUACGUGAAUGAAUAUAGAAAAUACGUGAGAGGGCACAGUGCUGGUGGUGGUGUCAGAGGGCUUUUGCAAGGGCAUGGCUUCUCUAUCGCAAGACGUGAGGAGGUAUGUGGUGCUCAUGACCGACCACUUCUGAGAAGCUGAAAAGGCUUUAAUUUUCUCCACCAUUCUUUUUUUCUUUUUCUUCUGCUCCCAUUGCUCUUGUAAUUUGUCUCACUGAUGUACACAUUCACAGUGCUUUGUUUUCUCUCUGGAUCCACAUUGCAAAGGAGGAACUGAGAAAAGCAUCUUUCCUUCUAUCUAGAAAGAAAGAGUGCAGGAGAAUAUUCACCCCUUUAAUCUGACACAGAACUGGAGGUCAGACUCCUCUGCACUCAUCUUAUGCAGGAAGUAUUUACAGUCUUAUUCAUCUGCAUGUAAAAUUCAGCACACAAAUAUAGAAUGACAGAAGUAGGUGCUAUUUUUUCGAUUAUUCUUAUUUUUUUGUAAAAAGUUUUAUUUAUUCACGGAAUUGUACCUUCCCAUAAUUCUUAUUGUUCUAUGACACUAGUCUUUUCCUUGUAUGAAUUGUCAUCUAGCAGCAUUAAUGCAUUAUGCUGUUAUUAAAAGCUAUUACAAUUAGUUUAGAACAGAGAAUAGAAGAUGCAAUUCUGAUCGUGCUCACGUUCUGUCUGUUGUAAAAUUAUGUGCUGAACUGGAUUGAAUAAUGUAAUUAUACAAGACUUGCUGCCAUGUAAUUAUACUCUCUUGACAAAAGUCAAUUUAUACAUCAAUUUGUAGUGUUUGAAUAACAGUUUCAAAAUAAAUUAUUCUAUUAAAAAGCCUCUAUAAUCA
ensembl:lncRNA